GACGAACGCUGGCGGCGUGCUUAACACAUGCAAGUCGAACGCGCCUGUCCUCUGGGUUUCUGGGGGGUGGGUGAGUGGCGAACGGGUGAGUAACACGUGAGUAACCUGCCCCCUUCUUCGGGAUAACGGUCUGAAAGGGCUGCUAAUACCGGGUAUUCACUGGUCUCCGCAUGGGGUCUGGUGGAAAGGUUUUUUUCUGGUGGGGGAUGGGCUCGCGGCCUAUCAGCUUGUUGGUGGGGUGAUGGCCCACCAAGGCUUUGACGGGUAGCCGGCCUGAGAGGGUGACCGGUGACAGUGGGACUGAGAUACGGCACAGACUCAUACGGGAGGCAGCAGUGGGGAAUAUUGCACAAUGGGCGCAAGCCUGAUGCAGCGACGCCGCGUGAGGGAUGGAGGCCGUCGGGUUGUGAACCUCUUUCGCCCGUGGUCAAGCCGCGACGUGGGUCGUGGUGAGGGUAGUGGGUAAAGAAGCGCCGGCUAACUACGUG
rnacentral:rRNA from 1 species